AGAGUUUGAGUUAUGGCGUCAGGAGUGAACGCUGGCGGACGUGCUUAACACAUGCAAGUCGAACGAAGCAUGAGCUGAAAUUUCGGAUGGAUGCCCAUGACUUAGUGGCGGACGGGUGAGUAACGCGUGGGUAACCUGCCUCAGUGCAGGGGGACAACAGCUGGAAACGGCUGCUAAUACCGCAUAAGACCCCGUGAGCGCAUGCUCAAGAGGUAAAAGGUUUAUCGGCAUGAGAUGGACCCGCGUUAGAUUAGUUAGUUGGUGGGGUAACGGCCUACCAAGACGACGAUCUAUAGCCGACCUGAGAGGGUGACCGGCCACAUUGGGACUGAGACACGGCCCAAACUCCUACGGGAGGCAGCAGUGGGGAAUAUUGGACAAUGGGGGAAACCCUGAUCCAAGCGACGCCGCGUGAGUGAAGAAGUAUUUCGGUAUGUAAAGCUCUAUCAGCAGGGAAGAAGAUGACGGUACCUGCAGAAGAAGCCCCGGCUAACUACGUGCCAGCAGCCGC
rnacentral:rRNA from 1 species